GACGAACGCUGGCGGCGUGCCUAAUACAUGCAAGUCGAGCGAAACUUAGAAAGCUUGCUUUCUAAGUUUAGCGGCGGACGGGUGAGUAACACGUGGGCAACCUGCCUAUAAGACUGGGAUAACUUCGGGAAACCGGAGCUAAUACCGGAUAAUAUAAAAGAUCACAUGGUCUUUUAUUGAAAGAUGGCUUCGGCUAUCACUUAUAGAUGGGCCCGCGGCGCAUUAGCUAGUUGGUGAGGUAAUGGCUCACCAAGGCGACGAUGCGUAGCCGACCUGAGAGGGUGAUCGGCCACACUGGGACUGAGACACGGCCCAGACUCCUACGGGAGGCAGCAGUAGGGAAUCUUCCGCAAUGGACGAAAGUCUGACGGAGCAACGCCGCGUGAGCGAUGAAGGCCUUCGGGUCGUAAAGCUCUGUUGUUAGGGAAGAACAAGUAUCGUUCGAAUAGGGCGGUACCUUGACGGUACCUAACCAGAAAGCCACGGCUAACUACGUG
rnacentral:rRNA from 1 species